rnacentral:rRNA from 1 species
GGGCGUAAGGGAGCGUAGGCGGAUCAUCAAGUUGGAGGUGAAAUCCCCGGGCUCAACCUUGGAAUUGCCUUCGAACUGAUAGCCUUGAGUAUGAUAGAGGUAAGUGGACUCCGAGUGUAGAGGUGAAAUUCGUAGAUAUUCGGAAGAACACCAAUGGCGAAGGCGACUUACUGGAUCAUGAUUGACGCUGAGGCUCGAAAGCGUGGGGAGCAAACAGGAUUAGAUACCCUGGUAGUCCACGCUGUAAACGAUGAUUGCUCGUUGUCAGCCAGCCUGCCGGUUGGUGAGACCGCUAACGCAUUAUAUCCUCCCCCGGGGGAGUACGGCCGCGGGAUAAACACUCAAGAGAAUUGACGGGGGCCCGCACACGCGGUAGAACGUGUGUUUUAUUUCUGAUAAACGCGCAAACUCUUACGGCCUUUAGAGCUGCUUGGACGUGGUGGAAAACUCUGUUUUCUCUUCUAAGACUGGGACACAGGGGCUGCUGGGUUGUCUCCACUUCUGGUCUGGAGAGGUGGGGUUAAUUCCCCCACCAACCCCACCCCUCUCUGUUAUUUGCCAUCAGUCAAGCUGGAACUCCUACAGGACUGCCGGUGCUAAGACGCGAGGAAGGAGGGGAUGAUGUCAAGUCAUCAUGGCCUUUAUGCGGUGGGCUACACACGUGCUACAAUGGUGACUGACAGAGGGCUGCCCCUUGGCAGUCAUCUCGCUACGCCAUCGUACUCUGUAUCUCGUGGGAGUGAGUCUGCAUCUCUACUCAUCGAGGAUCGACACGCUACUGAUGAUACAU